rnacentral:rRNA from 1 species
UUUCGUGGUCAGUUGCGGGAGCCAGCGGCGAGUGAGCGGCAAAAGCUCAGAUUUGGAAUCGCUUCGGCGAGUUGUGAAUUGCAGGUUGGCGCCUCUGCGGCGGCGGCGGUCCAAGUCCCUUGGAACAGGGCGCCAUUGAGGGUGAGAGCCCCGUGGGACCGUUUGCCUACGCUUUGAGGCCCUUCUGACGAGUCGAGUUGUUUGGGAAUGCAGCUCUAGCGGGUGGUAAAUUCCAUCUAAGGCUAAAUACUGGCGAGAGACCGAUGCGAACAAGUACUGUGAAGGAAAGAUGAAAAGCACUUUGAAAAGAGAGUGAAACAGCACGUGAAAUUGUUGAAAGGGAAGGGUAUUGCGCCCGACAUGGAGCGUGCGCACCGCUGCCCCUCGUGGGCGGCGCUCUGGGCGUGCUCUGGGCCAGCAUCGGUUUUUGCCGCGGGAGAAGGGCGGCUGGCAUGUAGCUCUUCGGAGUGUUAUAGCCUGCCGCCGGCGCCGCGAGCGGGGACCGAGGACUGCGACUUUUGUCUCGGAUGCUGGCACAACGGCGCAACACCGCCCGUCUUGAAACACGGACAAGACAAUUAUAAAAAGAAAUAAGGAAGAUA